rnacentral:misc_RNA from 1 species
GAUGAAGAACGUAGCGAAAUGCGAUAAGUAGUGUGAAUUGCAGAAUUCAGUGAAUCAUCGAAUCUUUGAACGCACAUUGCGCCCCUUGGUAUUCCAUGGGGCAUGCCUGUUCGAGCGUCAUUUGUACCUUCAAGCUCUGCUUGGUGUUGGGUGUUUGUCUCGCCUCUGCGUGUAGACUCGCCUCAAAACAAUUGGCAGCCGGCGUAUUGAUUUCGGAGCGCAGUACAUCUCGCGCUUUGCACUCAUAACGACGACGUCCAAAAGUACAUUUUUACACUCUUGACCUCGGAUCAGGUAGGGAUAUCCGCUGAACUUAAGCAUAUCAAUAAGCGGAGGA